AACGAACGCUGGCGGCAUGCCUAACACAUGCAAGUCGAACGAGACCUUCGGGUCUAGUGGCGCACGGGUGCGUAACGCGUGGGAACCUGCCCUUAGGUUCGGAAUAACUCAGAGAAAUUUGAGCUAAUACCGGAUGAUGUCUUCGGACCAAAGAUUUAUCGCCUUUCGAUGGGCCCGCGUUGGAUUAGCUUGUUGUGGGGGUAAAGGCCGACCAAGGCGCCGAUUCAUAGCUGGUCUGAGAGGAUGAUCAGCCACUCUUAGACUGAGACGCGGCCCAGACUCCUACGCGAUGCAGCAAUGGGUAAUAGUGCACAAUGGGCUAAGGCCUGAUCCAGCACUGCCCGGUAAGUGAUGAAAGCCUUAGGGUUGUAAAGCUCUAUUACCCGUGCUCAUAUUGACAGUAUCGGGAGAAUAAGCUCCGGCUAACUCCGUG
rnacentral:rRNA from 1 species